UACGAAGGGGGCUAGCGUUGUUCGGAAUUACUGGGCGUAAAGGGCGCGUAGGCGGUGUGUCAAGUCAGGCGUGAAAGCCCCGGGCUCAACCUGGGAACCGCGCUUGAGACUGGCACGCUCGAGUUCGGGAGAGGAUGGUGGAAUUCCCAGUGUAGAGGUGAAAUUCGUAGAUAUUGGGAAGAACACCGAUGGCGAAGGCAGCCAUCUGGACCGACACUGACGCUGAGGCGCGAAAGCCAGGGGAGCAAACGGG
rnacentral:rRNA from 1 species